rnacentral:piRNA from 1 species
UGAAGCUGGUUCUGCCACACGCCUGACAGGCC